rnacentral:rRNA from 1 species
AUUGAACGCUGGCGGAAUGCUUUACACAUGCAAGUCGAACGGCAGCACGGACUUCGGUCUGGUGGCGAGUGGCGAACGGGUGAGUAAUGUAUCGGAACGUGCCCAGUCGUGGGGGAUAACGUAGUGAAAAUUACGCUAAUACCGCAUACGAUCUAUGGAUGAAAGUGGGGGAUCGCAAGAACUCGCGCGAUUGGAGCGGCCGAUAUCAGAUGAGGUAGUUGGUGGGGUAAAGGCCCACCAAGCCAACGAUCUGUAGCUGGUCUGAGAGGACGACCAGCCACACGGGAACUGAGACACGGUCCAGACUCCUACGGGAGGCAGCAGUGGGGAAUUUUGGACAAUGGGCGAAAGCCUGAUCCAGCCAUUCCGCGUGCAGGAUGAAGGCCCUCGGGUUGUAAACUGCUUUUGUACAGAACGAAAAGGUUUCUACUAAUACUAGGAGCUCAUGACGGUACUGUAAGAAUAAGCACCGGCUAACUACGUGCCAGCAGCCGCCGUAA